rnacentral:rRNA from 1 species
UACGAAGGGGGCUAGCGUUGUUCGGAAUUACUGGGCGUAAAGGGCGCGCAGGCGGCUCAUUUUGUCAGGCGUGAAAGCCCCGGGCUUAACCUGGGAACUGCGUUUGAUACGGAUGGGCUAGAGUUCGGGAGAGGAGAGUGGAAUUCCCAGUGUAGAGGUGAAAUUCGUAGAUAUUGGGAAGAACACCGGUGGCGAAGGCGGCUCUCUGGACCGAGACUGACGCUGAGGCGCGAAAGCGUGGGGAGCAAACAGG